rnacentral:rRNA from 1 species
CUCUCGGCAACGGAUAUCUCGGCUCUCGCAUCGAUGAAGAACGUAGCGAAAUGCGAUACCUGGUGUGAAUUGCAGAAUCCCGCGAACCAUCGAGUCUUUGAACGCAAGUUGCGCCCGAGGCCAUUUGGCCGAGGGCACGCCUGCCUGGGCGUCACGCAAAACA